rnacentral:rRNA from 1 species
UACGAAGGAUCCAAGCGUUAUCCGGAUUUAUUGGGUUUAAAGGGUGCGUAGGCGGCCUAUUAAGUCAGUGCUGAAAUAUCCCGGCUUAACCGGGAGGGUGGCAUUGAUACUGAUGGGCUUGAGUAGAGUUGAGGUUGGCGGAAUUGACGGUGUAGCGGUGAAAUGCUUAGAUAUCGUCAAGAACACCUAUUGCGAAGGCAGCUAACUAAGCUCAAACUGACGCUGAGGCACGAAAGUGUGGGGAUCAAACAGG